rnacentral:lncRNA from 1 species
GUGACUUCAGUUUGUGUCUGACUCUUUCCGACCCUGUGGACUGUAGCCCUCCAGUCUCCUCUGUCCAUGAGAUUCUCCAGGCAAGAAUAAUGAAGUGGGUUGCCAUGCCCACCUCCAGGUUCACUGCUGAGCCAAAGCUAUUCUCCAUCUUGAAAAGAUCACAGAGUUUGUUUCAGUAUUCUGAGCCUUGAAACAAGGUUAUGAAAAGAGACUUAGAGCAGUAUACUAAAAGCGUCCCAGCAUGAGGAGACUGACGCGUCAAACUGGUAAGUGAAAGGGAUGCUUCAUGGGUGUCUGUUUUAUGCAUUAUUAAAUCUGUUGAUGCCAUUUCUCACACAAA